GCAAGGACCUGAAAAACCUGCCGCGUGGGCAGGAGGGAACCGACUGAGAGUCUGCCCAGGUUGCACAGCUCCUUGUUAUUCAGGUUUGAUAUGCAGGUGGCGACUUCUGAGAGUCCCUUGGAACCUGCUGGUCGAUAUCUUCUUGCUGCUGUCGUCCUUCUUAGCUAGAAUGACAUUUCCAUGAUGGCAAAGACCUUGACUGCCAUGUGCCCCGUUCCUGUCACAGCAGGUGCUCAGUAAGCACAUGCUCACUGCUCAGUUCCGAAUUCCGUUGGAGACUUUGCAACCCAACAGACAGGGUUUGGCAGAUGCAUUCUUUUGUUCUUGCAUAAUGCAUUGGCUUCAAGGUGAUUCUCUUUAUCCAGCAUAUCACAGAGAUGAAACUCAAAGUGGCUGAAACCGUGAAGCAGUUUUUACAUCACUGAAGAAUGCUGUAGGUAUGUGGGUUUGGUUCUUCAGGGGUUCAUUGCCUGACUUGAGCUAACUAUAUUAGCUCUCUCUAUGCUUUUCUUUCUUUUUUUUCAAGAAAAGUUUGCUUCACCACUCAGCAAAAAGAAAACUACUUAAUUCAUAAGCAAGGGAAGUAGCUGGCUGCUAUGGGUUUUCCCCUGUAGGCUGGCCCUUGUUUUUUCCCAUCUCCAGAGUCCCAGGGAUCAGUACACAUUCUGUUAGCCUCUUGUCUUCUGCACCAAAUGGGAUCAGUGAUGCUGCUGAUUUCUUAUAAAAAUCGUACCCAGUACUCAUAAAAUAUGGCAAAGCAGCCUGUACUGGUUUUAGGCUCGUUUUCCUAUUCCUCCUUUUGUCUUAGAUUUCAGUAGAAUUUUACUAACCCCGUGUUUGCAUCUGUUUCUGCCUAGGAACUGCAGCCACUGCCUGGGACAAGCAAACCACAGUCACAGUGCUCAUGGUCUUUUUUCUUCUAGGUAUUAAGAAACACAACAUGUACCUGCAAAUCAGUCAUUUCUUUCCUUCUGUUUGCUGUUCCAGUUUUUCCUCACUGUAGGUGUUGGGAACACUUUUCUCCAUGGUCACAGAUCACAAAAAAUAGGAGAAAGGAAGGGGUGAGCCAGAUGUUCUGCUCUAUCAACAAUGCCCAGGAAAAGAUAGAUACUCCAGAUGUGUUUGCUGAGUGACUGGAAAAAUGAUGGGAAGGGAAGAGUGAGGGCUUUUCAAUCUGGUGGGUUGGGUUCAAGUGCCAGUCAGCGUUUGUGUUUACCAGUUAUGUGACCCAAGUCAACUUACAUUUCUCCUCUGAGCCUAUAUGUAAAAUGGGAACAUGGUAUUUAGCUCAUAGGUUUGGUGCAAGGAGUAACAUUAAUGUGGAGGAAGCCCUUAGCAGUAAUGCCUAGGAGGCUGGCCCAAUUGAUGGUCGCCAAUGCUGGAGUUACAACCAGGAGCCCAUGGAGAUGCCCAUGCAAAUAGGUGAACAGAAAGCCCCCCACUGCCACAGCCAAUUACACAGAGGGCAGUGAGACUGGACGGUGGGAGCAGCUACUUUCUCCCUACUUACCGCUAGUGUAGGAAGCUGGUUCCUGAAAACUUAAGCCUCGGGGCUGGGGAUUUAGCUCUGUGGCAUAAAAGCCUGCCUUGCAAGCCUGUGGUCGUGAGUUCGAUCCCCAGUACUGAUAAAAAAAAAAAAAAAAACUAAGCCUCCCAGGAUUCAAAUCUGAUCUUUGUAGAAUAAGAGAGGAACGGGGUACCCAGACAAGGGAAUCACGGUUGAAGCUAUGAACUUAUGGACCAACUGAGUCCCUGAGGAAGGUGUGGAAGUUCUCACCUACCAAGGUCUCUUCCUGGCUACCCUGGCCAGGCCUGCAGCAGUGUGGGGAGCAGAAGGGAAAUGGCAGAUGUGACAGAGAACCAGGACAACAAAGGGGCCCACACACAGAGCAUGGAGGCAUCUCCCUCAGCUCCUUUCGACAGAAGAGUUCUCGAGUUCCUUGAUGAGGAGGCUGUGGAAGUUAUGACAUGAUUACACUUCUUUCCUGGUGGUUGUUGUGGAUAUAGCAGUGAUGCAGUCAUCCUUUCGGUGAACUGUGCAUGCUCCAUUCAGAGCAUGGAUCCCACUGUCUUACCUAAGCCACCUGCUGUUUCUGAGCUGAGGUCAGUUGAUGCCUGGAGGUGGGUAUUAACAGAAGCCAUCCUGUCUGCUGUGGCCCAUGGUGCCUUUGCUCUGCUGCUGCCCAUCCAGAGUGUCUCAGCCUUCCUUGUCAUCUAGAGUCUAAUGAAGGUGGAGGUCCCAAGCCUUGUGCUCCUUUGUCAUCCAGUGUGGCAAAAGGCUGGAGGAGGGGAGAAUCCUUGAUAACAAGGAGGGGACACCACCUGUCCACGGAGUGGGGUUGAGAUUUCUUCACCCACAAAUACCUCAUUCUUCUCUGAAGCACCAGGGCUUCUGGCUGCCGUCAGGAGCUGCCUGAGAAGAAACAUGGUGACCUUCCCCGGAGGGAUAGGGUGGCCUCCACAGGAUGAUGGGUGGGUGAUCCGGCUGCGGAUCAAUCCAUGGGUCUCACCUGGAGAGGGGAUCGGGGAUGGAGGCAGGGCAAGAGAAAAGAGAGAUAGAGGCUUGGCGAAAUUCCGGUCAAAUCUCUUUAUUUUUAAAAAUGACUACAGCUUAUAUAGGGUGGAGGCUGGCUUCAGGUCAGGGUCAAUGUACCCUAUCAGGGAUCUGGUCUAGGUCCCCAGUCUCCCAAAUGAGUGUACAGCAAAGGCUUAAAAUAAAUGAGACAAGUGGUAUGAUUUUAGGACUCCAGGAGGGUCAAAACCUCUGCAGAGUUCAAGACUCUGGUGGUUAAGAAAUGUUUUGUGGGUAGCCCAUAUUUAUUUUUUCAGUCAAGGAAGGGGUUAGAGUGGAAAACCAGGAAACUCAACAGGAUCUUGGGAGUGGUUUAAAAACUUUUCCAAAUAGCAGAUUAUGUUAAUUUAGGAGAAGUAUCUUGACCUUGAGUAUAAUCUUGAGAUGACUCAUGAAGACAUAGAUGAUUUUAUGCUAAGGAGAGUUAAUGUGAGAUCUCAGAUGGAUGGUACUAAUAAUCCCAGUUCUUCCUUUUAUCCCAUAAGAAAAUAUGUAAACCAGUCACUGUGAAUUUGUGGUCCCCAGCACUGCUCAAUCAUAAUCCCCUAGCUCUUGGGUGAGGAGAGUCCCACAGUCACUACUGAAACCCAAGGAUGCCCCGAGCUCACAGCAAGCAGCAAGUUGAGAGCUGGAAGAAAAUAUGCAGUCUCAGGGCAACAAGCUUGCCUGACUGGGCCACCACAGGUCACGCUGUUACAGGCUAGUUAGAAAUAUUAUAGGCAGUCAGACAGGGCUAGGCCUUUGAAGAAACUAGUGAAAUGACCAAAUGUCUUGUGAUCUUGGGAGUCACACACCUCUUGCUGUGGGCCAGAUUUCAAGACAAAGGGCAAAACAAAUGCAACCACACCCUAAGUAUAAGCAUUAGGGGUUAGGUAUGGAUGACCUUGAGAAGCCAGGAGUCACCAUUCCAACCCCCUACAGCAAGAGUCACUGAUCCAUAAGCAUGCUCACUUUGCUACAUGUCUUGUUUCCCCAUUUGUCCCUAAUUUGGUCAAUUCUACCUGAACAACUAAUCUGAUUGAUUGAUCAUAGUUCUGUCCCACCCAUGCUCAUUUGCCUUGCAAGUUCCCAGGUUUCCCCACUUUAAACCUGCCUCCCUUCAUGGUUUUACUCUAUAAAAAUCUCUAGAAAAGACAGAAUCUUUGGCAAACCACUUGGGACUCCUUGUGUCUCUUUCCCUCAAACAGAAGCUUUUUUUCUCUCAAUAAAUGUUUCUGUUCUUAA